UACGUAGGGUGCGAGCGUUAAUCGGAAUUACUGGGCGUAAAGCGUGCGCAGGCGGUUUUGUAAGUCGGAUGUGAAAUCCCCGGGCUCAACCUGGGAACUGCGUUCGAAACUGCAAGGCUAGAGUGUGUCAGAGGGGGGUAGAAUUCCACGUGUAGCAGUGAAAUGCGUAGAGAUGUGGAGGAAUACCAAUGGCGAAGGCAGCCCCCUGGGAUAACACUGACGCUCAUGCACGAAAGCGUGGGGAGCAAACAGGA
rnacentral:rRNA from 1 species